CAGCGAAACCCAACCGUUGCUUUUCCAGUAGCAAAAAAUUUUUCUGUACCACAACAAUCAAUGAUGGAGGCGACGUAUUUCAUCCUUUACGACAUAAAGAAGAAAUUGCUGUACACAACAACCCCUCAUCCAAGGGGAGAUACCGUGCGCAGGCCCACUAAUGAUGAAGUCAAAUGGUUCCGCACCAUUCAAGCCCAAGCUGAAUCUGCAUUGAAAGCGGAGGAUAUUUCCCUCACAUUUUCAUGCCUCAG